rnacentral:rRNA from 1 species
CACGUAGGGCGCAAGCGUUGUCCGGAAUUAUUGGGCGUAAAGAGCUCGUAGCGGUUUGUCGCGUCUGCUGUGAAAACUCAGGGCUUAACUCUGAGCUUGCAGUGGGUACGGGCAGACUAGAGUGCGGUAGGGGAGACUGGAAUUCCUGGUGUAGCGGUGAAAUGCGCAGAUAUCAGGAGGAACACCGGUGGCGAAGGCGGGGUCUCUGGGCCGUAACUGACGCUGGAGGAGCGAAAGCAUGGGGAGCGAACAGG